GACGAACGCUGGCGGCGUGCUUAACACAUGCAAGUCGAACGGAAAGGCCCUGCUUUUGUGGGGUGCUCGAGUGGCGAACGGGUGAGUAACACGUGAGUAACCUGCCCUUGACUUUGGGAUAACUUCAGGAAACUGGGGCUAAUACCGGAUAGGAGCUCCUGCUGCAUGGUGGGGGUUGGAAAGUUUCGGCGGUUGGGGAUGGACUCGCGGCUUAUCAGCUUGUUGGUGGGGUAGUGGCUUACCAAGGCUUUGACGGGUAGCCGGCCUGAGAGGGUGACCGGCGACAUUGGGACUGAGAGACGGCCCAGACUCCUACGGGAGGCAGCAGUGGGGAAUAGUGCACAAUGGGCGGAAGCCUGAUGCAGCAACGCCGCGUGCGGGAUGACGGCCUUCGGGUUGUAAACCGCUUUCGCCUGUGACGAAGCGUGAGUGACGGUAAUGGGUAAAGAAGCACCGGCUAACUACGUG
rnacentral:rRNA from 1 species